rnacentral:rRNA from 1 species
GAGUUUGAUCAUGGCUCAGAACGUACGCUGGCGGCACGCCUAACACAUGCAAGUCGAACGAAGUAGCAAUACUUAGUGGCAGACGGGUGAGUAACAUGUGGGUAUCUGCCCUUUGGCCUGGAAUAACACGAGGAAACUUGUGCUAAUACCGGAUAAGUCUUUACGGAGAAAGCUUUAUGCACCAUUGGAUGAGCCCGCACUUGAUUAGUUUGUUGGUAGGGUAAUGGCCUACCAAGACUAUGAUCAAUAGCUGAUUUGAGAGGAUGAUCAGCCACAUUGGGACUGAGACACGGCCCAAACUCCUACGGGAGGCAGCAGUGGGGAAUCUUGCACAAUGGAGGAAACUCUGAUGCAGCGAUGCCGCGUGAGUGAAGAAGGCCUUUGGGUUGUAAAGCUCUUUCGUCGGGGAAGAAAAUGACUGUACCCGAAUAAGAAGGUCCGGCUAACUUCGUGCCAGCAGCCGCGGUAAUACGAAGGGACCUAGCGUAGUUCGGAAUUACUGGGCUUAAAGAGUUCGUAGGUGGUUGAAAAAGUUGGUGGUGAAAUCCCAGAGCUUAACUCUGGAACUGCCAUCAAAACUUUUCAGCUAGAGUAUGAUAGAGGAAAGCAGAAUUUCUAGUGUAGAGGUGAAAUUCGUAGAUAUAGAAAGAAUACCAAUUGCGAAGGCAGCUUUCUGGAUCAUUACUGACACUGAGGAACGAAAGCAUGGGUAGCGAAGAGGAUUAGAUACCCUCGUAGUCCAUGCCGUAAACGAUGUGUGUUAGACGUUGGAAAUUUAUUUUCAGUGUCGCAGGGAAACCGAUAAACACACCGCCUGGGGAGUACGACCGCAAGGUUAAAACUCAAAUGAAUUGACGGGGACCCGCACAAGUAGUGGAGCAUGUGGUUUAAUUCGAAGACACGCGCAGAACCUUACCAACACUUGACAUGUUCGUCGCGACUCUAAGAGAUUAGAGUUUUCGGUUCGGCCGGACGAAACACAGGUGCUGCAUGGCUGUCGUCAGCUCGUGUCGUGAGAUGUUGGGUUAAGUCCCGCAACGAGCGCAACCCUCACUUUUAGUUGCCAUCAUUAAGUUGGGCACUCUGAAAGAACUGCCAGUGAUAAGCUGGAGGAAGGUGGGGAUGACGUCAAGUCCUCAUGGCCCUUACGUGUUGGGCUACACACGUGCUACAAUGGCAUCUACAACAGGAAGCAAAACGGCAACGUUAAGCAAAUCCCGAAAAGAUGCCUCAGUUCGGAUUGCACUCUGCAACUCGAGUGCAUGAAGCUGGAAUUACUAGUAAUCGUGGAUCAGCGUGCCACGGUGAAUGCGUUCCCGGGUCUUGUACACACCGCCCGUCACACCAUGGGAGUUGGUUCUACCUUAAGGCAAGGUUUUAAACCCUUGACCACGGUAUAGUCAGCGACUGGGGUGAAGUCGUAACAAGGUAACC